rnacentral:rRNA from 1 species
UUUCUCCGCCGGCGACCGGCGCACGGGUGAGUAACACGUAUGCAACCUGCCCCUGUCAGGGGGACAACCCGGCCGAAAGGCGGGCUAAACCCGCGUACAUGCCACCGGGGCAUCCCGGAGGCAGGAAAGGCUUCGGCCGGACAGGGAUGGGCAUGCGGCGCAUUAGGCAGUAGGCGGGGUAACGGCCCACCUAACCGACGAUGCGUAGGGGUUCUGAGAGGAAGGUCCCCCACACUGGUACUGAGACACGGACCAGACUCCUACGGAAGGCAGCAG